CUUAAAAUAACAUCUUGAACAACUAAGGAUAGCCUCCUACCUGGUCACCAUGCCUCCUCUCAAAGAACAGGCCAACUGAUAUUUCACAACACAGAACUGCUUACAUUUCAAACUGGACCAUGAAGUAUUCAUUGAGGUGAAGACCCUAGCUACGUCAAGGAAACAGCAGAGUUGCC